CCCUUAGAUGUUCUGGGCCGCACGCGUGCUACACUGAGUGGAUCAGCGGGUCAGGUUGCGCGAAAGUGUUUCCUAAUCUUGAAAUCCGCUCGUGAUGGGGAUUGACGGUUGCAAUUUUCUGUCAUGAACGAGGAAUACCUUGUAAGCGCGGGUCAUCAUCCCGCGCUGAAUACGUCCCUGCCCUUUGUACACACCGCCCGUCGCUCCUACCGAUUGAGUGGUCCGGUGCGGCUUUGGGAUCUGGAUGGAAAGAGCGUUUCGCUGUUUCUGCCCGGAAAACUCAGUCGAACCUUAUCAUUUAGAGGAAGGAGAAGUCGUAACA
rnacentral:rRNA from 1 species